GUGGACGCCAGUCUGCAUGGAGCCGACCUUGAAAUACCACCCUUUAAUGUUUGAUGUUCUAACGUGGGCCCCUUACCGGGGUUGCGGACAGUGUCUGGUGGGUAGUUUGACUGGGGCGGUCUCCUCCUAAAGAGUAACGGAGGAGCACGAAGGUUGGCUAAUCCUGGUCGGACAUCAGGAGGUUAGUGCAAUGGCAUAAGCCAGCUUGACUGCGAGCGUGACGGCGCGAGCAGGUGCGAAAGCAGGUCAUAGUGAUCCGGUGGUUCUGAAUGGAAGGGCCAUCGCUCAACGGAUAAAAGGUACUCCGGGGAUAACAGGCUGAUACCGCCCAAGAGUUCAUAUCGACGGCGGUGUUUGGCACCUCGAUGUCGGCUCAUCACAUCCUGGGGCUGAAGUAGGUCCCAAGGGUAUGGCUGUUCGCCAUUUAAAGUGGUACGCGAGCUGGGUUUAGAACGUCGUGAGACAGUUCGGUCCCUAUCUGCCGUGGGCGCUGGAGAACUGAGGGGGGCUGCUCCUAGUACGAGAGGACCGGAGUGGACGCAUCACUGGUGUUCGGGUUGUCAUGCCAAUGGCACUGCCCGGUAGCUAAAUGCGGAAGAGAUAAGUGCUGAAAGCAUCUAAGCACGAAACUUGCCCCGAGAUGAGUUCUCCCUGACUCCUUGAGAGUCCUGAAGGAACGUUGAAGACGACGACGUUGAUAGGCCGGGUGUGUAAGCGCAGCGAUGCGUUGAGCUAACCGGUACUAAUGAACCGUGAGGCUUAACCUUACAACGCCGAAG
rnacentral:rRNA from 1 species